UUCCGGCCCCACGCCGUUUGCUUAUGCUCGCUAGGGUCCUAGGCUCUUCACGUUCCCCUUCACACCCCGCUAGCGCCCGGGCUGCCGCCUCCGCCCCUGGCCCUGAGAUUGGCGUAACUCCGUUCCUCGCCCAGACCCACCUCCGAGCGGUUCUCAUCCUCCCGCAGUGAGACCCUGCCGCCUCCAAGCCUCCCCUUCGCGGUCACCUGGGCGAGGCCCCUGGGCCCCAGGCUGGGGGAGGGACCACCCCGUUGUAUGACAUCUCCUGCUGUUUCGUCCCCACACCUGUUCCCCCGGCCGUACCUGCCAGAGCGUGUCUACAUUCCCGGUAACCCACUGGAAAGUGAGCUGCUAGGACGCAGGCGGCAUCCGUUGCGUCGCUGAGUGCCGAGUGGGCGGCGACUUGAGGGAAGAAAGACCGGGAGGGAGACGCCGGGCGACCGCGAAGGGAGAACCUCGUCUAACAGCUUCCCUUCGUUCUUGUGACCUUUUGACUGAGCUGGCCGUGGGCUAAGGUUUCCACUAGAAGCUAUAAAACUCUAGAUGAUGCUCCAGUUGGACCAUUCUAGCUGUCGCGGCUCUCCUUUGGAUGGCGAAGAACCCUGUCACAUGCUUCCCUUUGGCGUUCCUGUCCAGCAGGAAGAAGCCAGAAUGGUCUUUGCUCCUCCUCCUGUGGCAGCAAAGGAUUCCCUGACCCCUACAAACUGAUUUUCUCUAAGUCUGCCAUGGCAGCUUGAGAAUCAAGACAGGGGAAUGAGAAGGAAAGCUGGUAAACCAGAGCAAAUUAAAAAAAACAAAACAAAACAAAACAAAACAAACCAAAAGGCCAGCUAGAUGUCUGAGGCUGGAUACUCCCCUCGCAUGCUUUUGGCUUCUGUAAUUUUGCUUGCCCUUUACAUGAGCCAACAGCCAGGAGCCGAAAGACUGACUGCGCUAUUCCACUCCACCCAGAAGCACAUGUGUAUAAAAGAUCAGUAAAAAUGAGCUGGCUGCUCAGCUUUUGAAGAUGACUCCACUUGGCUGGCACCGGUGCAAAAUAAACAGUCUUCUGAUUCCCUGA